rnacentral:rRNA from 1 species
UCCUACGGGACGCAGCAGUGAGGAAUAUUGGACAAUGGCCGAGAGGCUGAACCAGCCAAGUCGCGUGAGGGAUGACGGCCCUACGGGUUGUAAACCUCUUUUGUCGGGGAGCAAGACCCGCCUCGUGCAGGCGGAGCGAGAGUACCCGAAGAAAAAGCAUCGGCUAACUCCGUGCAGCAGCCGCGGUAAUACGGAGGAUGCGAGCGUUAUCCGGAUUUAUUGGGUUUAAAGGGAGCGUAGGUGGACAGUUAAGUCAGUUGUGAAAGUUUGCGGCUCAACCGUAAAAUUGCAGUUGAUACUGGCUG